AUGGGACCGAGAGCUCAGGUGUGGGCGGAGCAUGGCCACCCUACCACGUCCAGGAGGUGGAGAUCAGAGAGAGCUCAGGUGUGGGCGGAGCAUAUCACCCUACCAAGUCCGGGAGGGGGAGAUCAGACAGAGCUCAGGUGUGGGUGGAGCAUGGCCAUCCUACCACGUCCAGGAGUAGGAGAUUGGAGUGAGCUCAGGUAUGGGCGGAGCAUAUCACUCUACCACGUCCAAGAGGGGGAGAUCGGAGAGAGCUCAGGUGUGGGUGGAGCAUAUCACUCUUCCACAUCCAGAAGUGGGGAGAUCCGAGAGCUCUCAGGUGUGGGCGGAGCAUGGCCAUCCUACCACGUCCAGGAGGGGGGAGAUCAGAGAGAGCUCAGGUGUGGGCGGAGCAUGGCCAUCCUACCAUGUCCAGGAGGGGGAGAUCAGAGAGAGCUCUCAGGUGUGGGCAAAGCAUGGCCAUCCUACCACGUCCAGGAGGCGGAGAUCAGAGAGAGUUUGGGUGUGGGCGGAGCAUGGCUAUCUUUCCACGUCCAGGAGGGGAGAUCGGAGUGGGUGCAGGAUUGGAGCUCUCCACAGAUCCACACCAGCAGCUGAAUCAAUCCAAGCCUGCCCAUGUCACGAUGACCCAGCAGUGCCUGUACUACCUGCUAAAACAAGAGCUGGAAAGCUUCAGAGGAAGGUUAGGGAUCCUGAGAUGUGGUCAACAAGUUACCCACAAUGUGUAAUAUUCAGCAAAUAAUCACGCAUACACAGAGAAACGGGGGUAGAAUCUGUGGUCAAGAAAAAGGCAGUAAAAAGUGCACACACAUGCAGGAUGGUCUCUGUCACUCACCACAUGCGGCGGCUGAGA
rnacentral:lncRNA from 1 species